AACGAACGCUGGCGGCAGGCCUAACACAUGCAAGUCGAGCGCGCCCUUCGGGGUGAGCGGCGGACGGGUGAGUAACGCGUGGGAACGUGCCCUUUUCUACGGAAUAGCCUCGGGAAACUGAGAGUAAUACCGUAUACGCCCUUUGGGGGAAAGAUUUAUCGGAAAAGGAUCGGCCCGCGUUGGAUUAGGUAGUUGGUGGGGUAAUGGCCUACCAAGACGACGAUCCAUAGCUGGUUUGAGAGGAUGAUCAGCCACACUGGGACUGAGACACGGCCCAGACUCCUACGGGAAGCAGCAGUGGGGAAUCUUAGACAAUGGGGGCAACCCUGAUCUAGCCAUGCCGCGUGAGUGAUGAAGGCCUUAGGGUUGUAAAGCUCUUUCAGCUGGGAAGAUAAUGACGGUACCAGCAGAAGAAGCCCCGGCUAACUCCGUG
rnacentral:rRNA from 1 species